CCUUGGUAUUUGCUUUGAGCAUUGGAGUCGUAGCCACUGAAUCCACCUUCACCGCGACCGCUAGAACCACUGUUCUGAGCACCACCAUUGUAAGCGUUUCCAGUUUGUUCGUAACAAUACAUAAUAACGUCCAACAGUUCUAUCCCCAUCCCGGGAUUCCAUGUGACCGAAGUCAUUGCCGGAUUCGUAGUCUUGAACGUCGUACUUGAAUUCAUAUUUAGCUGGACCAUAGUUCUCUUCCUCCUGUCCGUUGCCAUAGCCAUUGUUAUUGCCAGCACUAUAUCCUGAAUUUGGAUAUCCUUGAUUGGCUGAAUAACCACUUUGUUGCUGUUUUGAGAAGAUGGCUGAAGUAACACCUGGAGCAGCAUACGAGUUUUGUGGUGCGGUACCAGAGGUUUGACUUCUUUGGGGUGGUAAGUAAUUGUUAGCAGGUGAUUGGUAUGUUUGAGUGGGUGGUAAGUAAUUAUUUGUUGGCUCAGCAGAUUGUUGAUUAGGUGGAAGAUACGAAUUCUGUGGAACGGGAGGUUCGCACCUUACUAAGGCCACACACGCCAAAACAGCUAUCGUUGUAAAGCACUGUAAAAGCAGAAAUGCAGCAUAAAAUAAGAUUGAGUAAUGUUGGAAAAAAGUGAAUGGUUAAAUAUAAUUGGUAAAAGAGCGGCAGUUUGGCUUAAUUAUGGUGUGAUGGUUAUUAUAUUUUUUGCCAGAUGGUGAUUGUAUAGAGAAAAUACAUCAAAGGAAUCAGCACAAUGCACAAGUGAUACAUUUAUCAAUACCGCACGUUUAUUGAUGUUUAUUUUCUAUUUGUCAUUAUGCAAGCAUGGAUCAUGGUAAAGCAUGGGUAUGGGUAUAGCAUGAGUUAUUUUUAAGACUCAUCGUCUUAACGAAGGUGUUUUAUUUAAGAGCCAAAUAAAAAAUCGAUGAUGAGAUUAAGUUUAGGAUAAACAAUGGCAUCCUUUUAAAUGUUAUUAUUAAAGCAAAUAUAACUUGAAAAUCUAAGCUCAAAGUACUUUUAGAAUGUAUAUAUUCAGUAAGAUAAACUGGUAUAUAUGAGCUUCUCUUAAAUACAUAUGUUAGAGGUAUGCAAACUAUGCAUAGCAAAUUCAAAUGGUAUCAUUAAGUUUUGGUAUAGGUUUGCAAUGCUUAUUUAUUAUUUUAUUCACAAAAUAAGUUUAAAAAUAAGAGAAAAUAAGUCAGGUAAUGGUUAUCCAUUUUUCAUAUUGAUUUGUAAUUUUGAACAUGUGAAAAUAUGGAACAGCAAGAAAUAAUCAAAACACAGGGCAAAAUUCACAAAAUUGAUAUUAUAUACCAUUCUUUUUUUUUUGAAUACCUAUUAUAGAACCACUUUAUUCACUGAAUGUUCUUUUUUUAUUUAAGGAAUAUUUUGUGUUUCUAUUUAGGAUAAUUUUGUAUACAGACUUUUUAAAAAAACACAGGUAUUUUAUACAUACCUUCAUUUCGUAUUUUUAAAACUUAAUUUUUAUCACAAAACUCAAAAGAGUUAAAUAAUCCUUAUUGGUCUUCUAACGAAGAUGGUUAAACAAGAUUUGAUACUGAUCCACAUUCAGACACCAGUAUUUAUAUCUCAACAAAUAUACAUUAAACCUUAACGCGCCACUUGCAGCGCAAAAUCCCAAUCAUCAUCUUCCAAGUACAGAUCUUCUUAUUCACAAAUCUCUCAACAAAUAAAAUAAAAACAAAAAUCUUAGCAGAAAAAAAAAAACAAAAA